GGAAGGAGGAGUGAGGAUAUGUGUACGUGCGAAUGGUCUUCGUUCGAGACGAGAGCCGGGGUAAUGCCGUACACCUGGGUUGUUUUAUUGUUUACAUUUUUGAGCUAGGCUAGGCUACCCGGCGUUAUCAUCACCAUCUGCUUGGCGUUCACACCGAAUUAUCGGCUUACUCUCUGAACGCAAUUGUCCCGUGUCGUCUUGAGGCUCACAGACGUCAAAGGAAGCUGGGUUAUUUUAUGAAGUCUCUGGCACUCCAACGUAAGGGAAUUUCCCCCUCGGCCUCCGGUCUCGCACUGUGCUCCCGCUGUUGGUCCCAUAAACAUUUGAACACUGCUGGGGUAGCCAGUGCGUACAAAGUUUGCAGCUCUGCAGCCCCUUUUCCGCUUGUUUGGAGGAAAUAAAGGGACUGCUGUAACACACUGCGCUCCUUGUUGUGCUACUGCAGAGAUACACACACACACACACACACACACACACACACACACACACACACACACACACACACACACACACACACACACACACACACACACACACACACACACACACACAGUUCUCUCUUAUUGUGGCCCCCUGCAGCAUUCGUUUUCGCACCAGCAUUGCCGUUUUAUAAUCCUAAUGACAGGGCCUCUUAAAAAGGAAUGCCUAAACUGUGUGGGAGAGAGAUGGAGUCAGUCAAUAGUCCUGGGUCACAUCUGUGGUAUAGGUGGCCCUGUUGAAAAUGAGGUGGCUUUUAAUUAUUGAUUAUUGUAAUGAAACUGGAUUCCUCAGGGUUUUAAAGAGGGCAGAUGCCUGCUUGGGGGUUGGUGCAGACAUUGUAUAUGCUGUUUUUGCUUGUGGAAAAAUACUAUUCUACUUCCAUACAGGAAAUAAAAACUAUUCUUCCAUAUGCAGUCAAGAGUAUAGUUUAUCAUUCUGUGAUAAUUUUGGACACAGAUGGCAAGCAGGUAGAUCAUCCGGUCAACCCAGCCAUUUAAGAGAGAUUGAGCUUUAGCUGUAAUGUCUUUGCUCUCUCUAUGGCAACAGAACAUGACUUGGAGCGCUGGUUCCCUGGAAUUGACGUUACCGGGUAGAAUAAAGGGAAAACCCAUGGUCUUUGCAAAACCAACUCCGUUGCAACACAUACACAGAACCAGACAUGAGCCAGUUAUAAGUAGAAAAAAACAAGCGUCUAGACUGAAAUAUGAAAAUGCUGACAUUCCUUUAGAAAGUGACUUUGGAAAAAUACAGAAUACUGUCCUGAGUCAUCCAGGGAGCAUCCUCUUGUAAAGCAAACUGCACCUAAGCUAUCUGCUAGUGAAAGAACGUGGUUCCCGGAGCAAACAUGCUAUACUCAAACUGGGCGAGUACUGUACUGGGUGAGGUGUGUAUUUUGACGUUACACGUUUGUUAAGUUGAUAUUACUGGCAUUGACUUCAAAGGCUAGACUUAAAGUAGGCUCAUCAGCUGUAGUGCUAAACUAGGUCAAGCAAAGUUGGAGAUCUAUACCUGCUAUUGAGAAAAUGCUCUUUUAUUAGUGAGACAGGGAAUGUGGGGUGAACAUGGAAGGAACCAAGGAGCCGUAUGGAUUAGGUAUCGCUCUACUGAUCAAGGGCACCUCCACCACCACUGUGGCUGGGGAACUGAAGCCAUGUCCUGCUGGGUGCAGGACGUGUCGUGUGCAUCCGCCCACCGGGCGACCUCGCUCCUCUGCAGUUGAGCUGUAGUGAGUUGAGACUGGCUCAGGGAAACUCUUUUACUGGAAGAAGUGACACAGGAAGGCUUGAGUCAGACGUAUUGGAGGAGUUUCCCCCCACUCCCCCAAAAUGUUUCUCCCAUCUACAGUUUUGGAAGAUGGAAAUCUGGAGCUUGAUGUUAGGCUGCUGGGGAAGUGAGUGGUGGUGAAUGGAUGUGGACUCUUUCUUAUAUGCUACAUGUGGAGCUCAACAUUUUGACAAUGUUCCUUCAACUGCUAUUGGCAAAUUUAAAAAUGGGUUUGCUUAGACAGUCAAAAAGUUUUUAUGUAUUAAACAUGGUUUACAAAUGCAUGUUUGAUAGCCAACCAGUUACUAACUACAGGGUUUCAUUGAGUAAAUAGCACACCUAGAAACUGAGCAUCUUAUUGGAAGUGAGUAAUCUUCCUGGGUAAUACAGUUCUUCCAGCUCAUGUAUUGUUUCUGCCCAUCCCCGGUCUCAUUGGUAAGACGGCAACGCCAGCUAGGUAGUUGGCACCCCAGGGUCUCAGGCUAGCAGUGCGAUAUCUGUGUUAGAUGUACGCUUGGAGAAUAGCUCCCCUCCCUGAGUCCCAGGUCAUUACUUUCAUUAGAGGCCGCUGAGUGUGCUCUUUCUCAUCCAUACCAUGUGGAACCUCGUCUGCUCUCUACCUGGCUGGUGGACCAAGUGUCUGUUACCCGAUAGUGGGCAUCACAUGACCCCCUGAGUUAGUGAAGAACCUGAACUCCGCACGAGUCCGCGCUUUGUUGGCUCUCGGGAGACGGCCCCCAACCGGCCAACUAGCUAGCUAGCUUUAUGGCAAAGCUCUGCAUAAUGUAUUAAGUUCUCUCAAUGUAUUUUCCGUCAAUUGUUCAUUUGUUUAUUUUGUUGUGUUAUGUCUGUUUUUGUCUCCCUUCUUUAAAUCUACUUUCUGCGCCAUCCCUCUGUCUAUCUUAAAUUUAAAGUGUGUGUGUGUGUACGUGUGAUCAUGUUCAUGGGUUGCAUGUCGGAAAUGGGAGACGGACAUUCAAUACAGGCUGAAUGAUUCAGAGGCUUGGUGUGUGUGUGUGUGUGUGUGUGUGUGUGUGUGUGUGUGUGUGUGUGUGUGUGUGUGUGUGUGUGUGUGUGUGUGUGUGUGUGUGUGUGUGUGUGUGUGUGUGUGUGUGUGUGUGUGUGUGUGUGUGUGUGUGUGUGUGGUUGUUGUUUGGUCGAUCACAAUUGCAGGAUAUAUAAAGCACAGUUGACCAUGCUUUGUGGAAAAGUACAGGAACAUGAGUCAUGCAAACUUUAUAACAAUUACAAUGUGCUUAUGUUACCAAAUCAUGACAUAUUUUAGAAAUUAAGAUUUGCACAAUAACAUAGAUAUGUCAAUCAACUAAAUUAAAGCAAAUGUAUUGUCUUGGGGAAGUUUACCACACAUUGCCUUACUGUACUUUCUGAAACAAUCCGGACAGGGUUAAAUAUAGGUUAGUCUGCCAGGAAGCCAAACAAUGGUGAGUUUUGGGAGUUGGACCAGCGCCAGAACCUUCUCCUCCAUUAUAUGGACCCAGAGCAGUCAUAAUAUAUGGUUAUCUCAAAAAAGUAAGGACACAAACAUCAUCGCUUCUGUUUUUCAAUAGAAUUUUUAGAUUUGAAUUUUAAUUGUGUAUGUGAUUGUUAUGUACUUCACAUAAUACCGAAAUGUAGUAUUUUUGCAAUUAAGACAAAACGUGGGAACUCCUCUUUACAUGCAGUGACCUGUUAUCAUGGCUCCCCUGUCUCACAUACAUACACACACACACACAGCGACCGGGAAGGGACCAGAAAAGCACAGAGUUGGAGGACUGCUGACUGAACACAGGAAGUGGCUGGCCGGGGAAGGCCAUCCCUCCCCUUCCCUCCAAAUCAGCGAUUAGCGAUUCUCUGAUUCACUUUAAUCCAACAGAUUUUUUAAAGCCAAAAAAAAUCCUAGGCACUUUAUUGGCAUGUCAUCAUUUCGCUCUAUAGUUAUUCCUCAGUCUCUUUUCCUUUUUUCUCACUUCUUCCUUACUCUGAUUCCUUCAUUUCUAUCUCUUACUUUGUCUAUCCGCCCUCUUUUCCUCUCUGCUCUACCAAGACUGUUUAUCAUUUUAAAAGUUAUUGAAGGGAACUCAUUUGGUACAUUGGUGACACCAAGGCCGCGUUUUGACAGCCAAACAAGCAAGUAAACAACAAACAUGCAAACAGGCCAACAGCCAGUAGGAGACAGUGAUGAGUGACGCCACGGUCACUUGGAGACAGAGUGGAAGAGUAAUGGAUGGAUAUGGGGAGAAUCAGGAAGAGUGCAUGAAUGGAUCCUGAGAGACUGUGGGGGGGGGGGGAACUAAAGGCAGAUUUAACACCAAAGCGAGAGACAGGAAGAAGUGUUUAUCGAGACGAGGGGAAGACAUGAAAAAGGAGCUUGACGCAGGAAGAUGGACUUCAGUGACAGAGGAAAAACAUGAGGAUUUUUACACAUGGCCUAGUUUCUCCUCCUCUUUCAGCUCCGUUGCUCCAUCACCCCAGCCUGUAACAUCCCCCCCCUCUCCUCCCCUUCACCCUCCCCCUUCAUUCAGCUCUAUCGGUUUUUCCGCUCCCUCUCUGUUUCUCUCACUCUCAAUUGAAUUAAAUUCAAAGGACGCGGUUGGCAUGUGAAACAUGUAUUAGCUUUGCCAAAGCACGGCAAAAAGUAAAAUAAGAUCAACAAAUAUGACACGGUGAUGCUGUCGAUUUGCAUUGUCAUCGUGGUGCAUUAUUAAAUAGAGCUUUGUAGUGAUGUCUUGUGCUUCCCCUCCAUCUUCUGGCUAAACAGAAAACAUAUCCGAUGAUAUUUUGGUGUACCUCAAAGCAUGUGACGUAUGUUGUUUUGGAAAGGUUUUAAUUUAGCUGUCCCAUUUACCCCUCCAUGUGUUCUCUCUUGCUCCCUCCCAUGCUCAUUCUGUCCCCCUCCCUUUGCAUGUGUGCCACUUUAUUACUUUCAUGCAAACAUAGCUCAAUCGCUCUGUCCUCUACUCCAAAUAAAUUGGUGUAUAUUGCUCUCUCUCUCUUUCUCUUUCUGUCUCUCCUUCGCUCUUUUUAUUUUCCCAGAUUAUUUCCUGCCUGGAGAAGUUUCCUGUUGUGUCACAUUCGCCACCGACUGAACUUUGCAGGAAAAGCACACGCUUUCACAGCGAGUUUGCCCCAUCCUCAGACAAAUGCAGGCAUAACCAAAGGCUAACUGACCAGCUACGCCCACACAGCUGACCCUCACACUGAGGGGGGCUGACCAGCACAUUAUAAUAAACAUGACUAGAGACUUUAGGGUGUUGGGAGUCAGCCUGUAGUGUAGAUAGGAGCCCUGCUGUUGAUGUCUGUCCUUUCAUGGCCAGGAAACUUUACCUUCUUACUUAUUUGUUUCCGUCAUUGCUACCCGAAGGGUUCCAAUUGGUGUUAGAAAGACUCAAUUACAAUUACAAUUAGGGCAUUUAGCAGACGCUUUUAUCCAAAGCGACUUACAUCGGUUUAAUACACAAAUUGACACACCGACGGCAGAGUCAACCAUGCAAGGCGACAGCCAGCUCGUCAGGUGCAGUUUGUGUUAAGUGUCUUGCUUAGGGACACAUCAACACUCAGCUAGGAGGAGCUGGGGAUCGAACUAGCAACCUUUCGGUUACAAGAAAAAGCUGUGUGGGUGUUCCUGGGCCUUUUCCAAAGCCACCCAUGUGUCAUUUCAAGAUAUUGAGGUCAUCAGUGUUUGUUUGAGUGUCUGCAGUGCCCUUGGAGCAGCAGUGUCUUCCUUGGAUUGAUAACCACCAGGCUCUAGACGUGUAGGAAGGAACCCACUGCCCUGAUAUCUGGAAUGCACACACUUGCAUGCACAAGCAUGCCUACGGUGUGUGUGUGUGUGUGUGUGUGUGUGUGUGUGUGUGUGUGUGUGUGUGUGUGUGUGUAUGGGUAUGUUGGUGUAAAAUGCCAGUGUGCAGGCUGGGUAGAGAGAAUAGUGACAGAGAAGCAGUGUUAAUAAAUUAAUCAUGGGGGCCGGUUUAAGAGGCCCACAGGGGGUAGAAGCUGGACCAGAGAACAUUGAUUUCGCACUCGCGAACACUUUCUCAACCUCAUCUGUUCCUCUCAACUUUUAAAGAAAGAUCAUCACCAUUAUUUUCUCAGUCAUCUUCCUUCAACAAACUUUGGGACCCAUAUCCCAUUGUCAUUCUUUCUCCACAGUCCAAUAUAGCAGUGAAUUGUUUGGCCUUAUGCCACGAAAGGUAAUUUAUACCUCUCCUUCACUGUCCAUCAUUCUGAAUGCCCCUCAAUCCAUAGACGUGAUUGGGGUGGAUGGAUUUGAUGAGAAGGUGAAUGCGCUGGAAGAGGCAGAAAAGGAUGAUGGAUGUAGAGUCUGAUGGAGAGUGCAAGUGUUUAAUGCCAGAGCUUUGAUGAAUUUAAACAGUUUUUGUGGCUUCCUAAUUGUGUAUCUUAUCUGCUCUAGGCAUAAAGGGAUAUGCAGGGAUAUCUGUAAAUUGGCUUCUUACCCAGAUUCAGACGAGUUGUUUCAAUCCAAAUUCAAUGAGAAUAUCGCGACGGAUUAUCUUUGUAUUGUCGACCAUCUACAACCAUCUUGUCUUAUUACUGGCACGCGCUUUGAAUAAACGCCUAUUCAGAACACAUUUGAAAUCUUUGGAAAGUAAUUAAAAGUGUUUGGCCCUCACAUGAACAGGAGCUGGAUUGCUUUAUCUCUGUAAAUCAAUGGAAAAACGGAAACCGAAUGCUAAGCCAGCAAACUUUUCUGGACGCACAAUGAUGAAUUUGGAGUCACAUGGGACAACACAUCUGAAUCUGGGUCAGACUGUCAAAAGCCAAUUUACAAAUAUCCGCGCGUAUUAAAUCUCUGAAGGACAGCACUCUGCCUAUAAAUGUUGCUUGUCUGUGUGGGUGAUCUUCUGGGAAUCUGUGUAUAUACCACUUAUGUCACACAUUGUAGUUUUUACUUGCUCAUAUUAUUGAAUCAUUAUUACUUGGUAAUCAGCAUACCGGUGAGUGUGUUGCAAUGUUAUGUCAGGGGACAGAGAGAGGUCUGUGUCUCAGCUGAGACGGUCACAGAACUACAUGAGCUCAUACUACUCACAGAGAUGGCUAGCUAGCAGGGUGAACUUGAGCUCUGAGUAUUUGUGAUUGUGUGUGGCUUUAAAAUAGCCACACACAAUCACAGUGUGUGUGAUUGUGUUGAGCUUGUUUUUACCAGUGAUCCAAGACAUCACGUGACUUCAAUAGUCACGGAACCUACACAUGAUGACACAUACGUGAUCGGACAGGUAGUACCGGGAUGGCUAAGGUCCUGUAGUCACAAAGGAGGUCGGAUGCAACUUCUCAGCCGACGUUCAGUGAGAACGUGAGACUCACGGAAGCAGCUCUGUUCAGUGAACUUCAUCACAUUGUAACCGUGUACAGUCGUGUAUUGUUACAAGGUAAUGAGGUGUGUGUGUGUGUGUGUGUGUGUGUGUGUGUGUGUGUGUGUGUGUGUGUGUGUGUGUGUGUGUGUGUGUGUGUGUGUGUGUGUGUGUGUGUGUGUGUGUGUGUGUGUGUGUGUG